rnacentral:rRNA from 1 species
CCCUUAGAUGUUCUGGGCCGCACGCGCGCUACACUGUUUGAUUCAGCGAGUCUUAACCUUGACCGAAAGGUUUGGGUAAUCUUCUAAAGUCAAACGUGAUGGGGAUCGAUCAUUGCAAUUAUUGAUCGUGAACGAGGAAUUCCUAGUAAGCACAAGUCAUCAGCUUGUGUUGAUUACGUCCCUGCCCUUUGUACACACCGCCCGUCGCUCCUACCGAUUGAAUGUUCCGGUGAGCUCUUCGGACUGCGCGGUCUGCAGUUUCUGCGUUCCGUGCGGAAAGUUGCGCAAACCUUAACAUUUAGAGGAAGGAGAAGUCGUAACA